CCUUGACAUACUAAGAACUUUCCAGAGAUGGAUUGGUGCCUUCGGGAACUUAGAUACAGGUGCUGCAUGGCUGUCGUCAGCUCGUGUCGUGAGAUGUUGGGUUAAGUCCCGNAACGAGCGCAACCCUUUUCCUUAUUUGCCAGCGGGUCAUGCCGGGAACUUUAAGGAUACUGCCAGUGACAAACUGGAGGAAGGCGGGGACGACGUCAAGUCAUCAUGGCCCUUACGGCCAGGGCUACACACGUGCUACAAUGGUCGGUACAAAGGGUUGCUACCUCGCGAGAGGAUGCUAAUCUCAAAAAGCCGAUCGUAGUCCGGAUCGCAGUCUGCAACUCGACUGCGUGAAGUCGGAAUCGCUAGUAAUCGCGGAUCAGAAUGCCGCGGUCGAAUACGUUCCCGGGCCUUGUACACACCGCCCGUCACACCAUGGGAGUUUGUUGCACCAGAAGUAGGUAGUCUAACCGCAAGGAGGACGCUUACCACGGUGUGGCCGAUGACUGGGGUGAAGUCGUAACAAGGUAGGCGUAGAUGA
rnacentral:rRNA from 1 species